rnacentral:rRNA from 1 species
CCAAGCUAUUAAGAGCAAACGGUGGAUGCCUUGGCAUCAGGAGGCGAUGAAAGACGUGGUAAGCUGCGAAAAGCUUCGGGGAGUUGCUAAACAAACUUUGAUCCGGAGAUAUCUGAAUGGGGAAACCUGCUGGGGUUAAUGCCUCAGCAUCUGCAACUGAAUACAUAGGUUGCAGAGGCGAACGGGGAGAACUGAAACAUCUUAGUACCCCCAGGAAAAGAAAACAAAAGUAAUUUUCCAAGUAGCGGCGAGCGAACGGGAAACAGCCCAAACCGAAUAUAUGUAAGCCCGAAAGCGUUGUAUAUUUGGUGUCGCGGGAUCUAAAGUGAUCUGGUUUCGGACAGAUCGAAGAGUUACAAAACUGAUUUAUAAUUAAAGCGUCUGGAAAGUCGCACCAUAGAAGGUGACAGUCCUGUAAAUAAAAUGAAUCAGUCUCUUAUUUAGACACCCAAGUACCGCGGGACACGAGAAACCCUGUGGGAAUUCAUGAGGACCAUCUCAUAAGGCUAAAUACUACCUGAUGACCGAUAGUGAACUAGUACCGUGAGGGAAAGGUGAAAAGUACCCCAGUGAGGGGAGUGAAAUAGUACCUGAAACCGUUUGUUUACAAGCAGUGGAAGCACUAUGUAUUCUUUCGGGAAAACAGUGCGACUGCGUGCCUUUUGCAUAAUGAGUCAGCGAGUUGUUUUACGCAGCAAGAUUAAGCCGUAAGGUGUAGUCGCAGCGAAAGCGAGUCUUAACAGGGCGUAUUAGUUGCGUGAAGCAGACCCGAAACCAGGUGAUCUAUCCAUGGCCAGGGUGAAGCUCCGGUAAAACGGAGUGGAGGCCCGAACCGUUGUAUGUUGAAAAAUGCUCGGAUGAGCUGUGGAUAGGGGUGAAAGGCCAAACAAACCUGGAAAUAGCUGGUUCUCCCCGAAAUAUAUUUAGGUAUAGCCUUGCGAAUUAAGUAACGGGGGUAGAGCACCGGAUGGGCUAGGGGUCCCACCAGAUUACCAAACCUAACCGAACUCCGAAUACCGUUAACUGUAAUCGCAGGAGUCAGACUGCGGGAGCUAAGUUCCGUAGUCGAGAGGGAAACAGCCCAGAUCGCCGGCUAAGGCCCCCAAGUGUGUGCUAAGUGGGAAAGGAUGUGGAAAUGCACAGACAACCAGGAGGUUGGCUUAGAAGCAGCCAUCCUUUAAAGAAAGCGUAAUAGCUCACUGGUCGAGUGAGUCUGCGCCGAAGAUGUAACGGGGCUCAAGCACACCGCCGAAGCCGCGGAUGUACAUUAAUUUGUAUGUGGUAGGGGAGCAUUGUGUCAUGGCUGAAGCCUGACCGUAAGGACAGGUGGACGUGACAGAAGAGACCAUGCUGACAUGAGUAACGAUAAAGCGGGUGAAAAACCCGCUCGCCGAAAACCUAAGGAUUCCUGAGUAAAGCUAAUCUUCUCAGGGUUAGUCGAUCCCUAAGCCGAGGCCGAAAGGCGUAGGUGAUGGCAAACAGGUUAAUAUUCCUGUACCACCGUGUUAUCGUUUGAGAGAAGGGGGGACGCAGGAGGGCAGGUCAUCCGUCUGCUGGAAUAGACGGUUUAAGCAUGUAGGCUGAAAGGACAGGUAAAUCCGUUCUUUCAAACGGCUGAGAUGCGAUGAGGAGGAGCUUGCUCCAUAAACUGACUGAUCCCAUGCUGCCAAGAAAAGCCUCUAUCGAGAUAACAAGGUGAUCGUACCGCAAACCGACACAGGUAGGUGGGGAGAGAAUCCCAAGGCGCUUGAGAGAACCCUGGUUAAGGAACUCGGCAAAAUGACACCGUAACUUAGGGAGAAGGUGUGCCUCUGGUACGUGAAAGGACUUGCUCCUGGAGCGGAAAGAGGCCUCAGAGAAAUGGCGGUAGCGACUGUUUACUAAAAACAUAGGACUCUGCUAAGUCGCAAGACGAUGUAUAGGGUCUGACGCCUGCCCGGUGCCGGAAGGUUAAGGGGAGAUGUUAUCCUUCGGGAGAAGCAUUGAACCGAAGCCCCGGUAAACGGCGGCCGUAACUAUAACGGUCCUAAGGUAGCGAAAUUCCUUGUCGGGUAAGUUCCGACCUGCACGAAUGGCGUAACGACUUCCGCACUGUCUCAACCAGGGACUCAGUGAAAUUGUAUUGGCGGUGAAGAUGCCGUCUACCCGCGAAAAGACGGAAAGACCCCGGCACCUUUACUACAGCUUGACAUUGGAUUUUGGAAUAGUAUGUGUAGGAUAGGUGGGAGGCUGCGAUCCCGGAACGCCAGUUUCGGAGGAGCCGACCUUGAAAUACCACCCUUACUAUUUUAGAGUUCUAAUUUUGACCCGUGAACCGGGCAAAAGACAGUGUCUGGCGGGUAGUUUGACUGGGGCGGUCGCCUCCCAAAGAGUAACGGAGGCGCGCGAAGGUUCCCUCAGGCUGAUUGGAAACCAGUCGAAGAGUGCAAAGGCAUAAGGGAGCUUGACUGCGAGAGAGACAUUUCGAGCAGGUACGAAAGUAGGUCUUAGUGAUCCGGCGGUUCUGAAUGGAAGGGCCGUCGCUCAACGGAUAAAAGGUACGCCGGGGAUAACAGGCUUAUCGCCCCCAAGAGUUCACAUCGACGGGGCGGUUUGGCACCUCGAUGUCGGCUCAUCACAUCCUGGGGCCGGAGCAGGUCCCAAGGGUUUGGCUGUUCGCCAAUUAAAGUGGUACGUGAGCUGGGUUUAAAACGUCGUGAGACAGUUUGGUCCCUAUCUUUCGCGGGCGCAGGAUAUUUGAGAGGAUCUGUCCCUAGUACGAGAGGACCGGGAUGGACGAACCAAUGGUGUUCCGGUUGUCGCGCCAGCGGCAUUGCCGGGUAGCUAAGUACGGAAAGGAUAACCGCUGAAAGCAUCUAAGCGGGAAGCCCGCCUCAAGAUAAGAUAUCCCCUCUGCAUGGCAGCAUGCAGACUAAAGACUCCUUGAAGACUACAAGGUUGAUAGGCCGGGUGUGUAAGCAUGGCAACAUGUUGAGCUUACCGGUACUAAUAAGUCGUGAGGCUUGGCCAC